GUUAGUGUGGCAGAGCCCGGUAACUGCAUAAAACUUAAAACUUUAUAACCAGAGGUUCAAAUCCUCUCUCUAACA
rnacentral:tRNA from 1 species